AAGUCGUAACAAGGUUUCCGUAGGUGAACCUGCGGAAGGAUCAUUACCAAUCUUAGCGGGCCUGAUCUUUAUUGAUCAUGGUCUCGCGAAAUCGUAUUUAAAACCCCACUCUUAUUAAAUGAAUCAUUUUAUAAUAAUAAAUAAAGAUCACUUUCAACAACGGAUCUCUUGGCUCUC
rnacentral:misc_RNA from 1 species